rnacentral:rRNA from 1 species
AGUCAAUAGAUACCCUGGUAGUCCACGCCCUAAACGAUGUAUGCUGAAUCGGAGCGGCUCUGACGCCGUUCGGAUUGGAGAGAAAUUGUUAAGCAUACCGCCUGGGGAGUACGGUCGCAAGGCUAAAACUCAAAGGAAUUGACGGGGGCUCACACAAGCGGUGGAGCAUGUGGCUCAAUUCGAAGCAACGCGCAGAACCUUACCUGGGUUUGACAUGGUCGGAUUAACUCCUGGAAACAGGAGCCAGGCCCGCAAGGGUACAACGAUCACAGGUGCUGCAUGGCUGUCGUCAGCUCGUGCUGUGAAGCGUCGGGUUAAGUCCCUUAACGAGCGCAACCCUUGUCGUUAGUUACUAACAGGUAAUGCUGAGGACUCUAGCGAGACUGCCGGUGUCAAACCGGAGGAAGGCGGGGAUGACGUCAAGUCCUCAUGGCCCUUACAUCCAGGGUUGCACACGUGCUACAAUGGUGCAUACAAAGCGAAGCAAGACCGCGAGGUGGAGCAAAUCGCAAAAAAUGCA